AGAGUUUGAUCCUGGCUCAGGAUGAACGCUAGCGGCGUGCCUAACACAUGCAAGUCGAACGGACCGACCCGCGACUCUUCGGAUGAGCGGUAAGGUUAGUGGCGAACGGGUGAGUAACACGUGGGUGACCUGCCCCGAAGUGGGGGAUAACUCUUCUAACGAGGAGCUAAUCCCGCAUAUGCUCCGUGGAGUUUGAGAACACGGAGUAAAGCUCCGGCGCUUCGGGAGGGGCCUGCGGCCGAUUAGCUAGUUGGUGGGGUAAUGGCUCACCAAGGCGACGAUCGGUAGCUGGUCUGAGAGGAUGAUCAGCCACACUGGCACUGAGACACGGGCCAGACUUCUACGGAAGGCAGCAGUGAGGAAUAUUGCGCAAUGGGCGAAAGCCUGACGCAGCAACGCCGCGUGGGUGAUGAAGGCCUUCGGGUCGUAAAACCCUUUUCUGGGGGACGAGGAAGGACGGUACCUCAGGAAUAAGUCUCGGCUAACUACGUGCCAGCAGCCGCGGUAAAACGUAGGAGGCAAGCGUUAUCCGGAUUUACUGGGCGUAAAGCGCGCGCAGGCGGUUUGGUAAGUCGGACGUGAAAGCCCCCGGCUCAACUGGGGGAGGCCGUUCGAAACUGCCAGACUUGAGGUCUGGAGAGGGGAGUGGAAUUCCCGGUGUAGUGGUGAAAUGCGUAGAUAUCGGGAGGAACACCAGUGGCGAAGGCGGCUCCCUGGCCAGCACCUGACGCUAAGGCGCGAAAGCGUGGGUAGCAAACGGGAUUAGAUACCCCGGUAGUCCACGCCCUAAACGAUGGCAACUAGGUGUUGGGGGUUAUUGACCCCCUCAGUGCCGAAGCAAACGCGAUAAGUUGCCCGCCUGAGGACUACGAGCGCAAGCUUAAAACUCAAAGGAAUUGACGGGGACCCGCACAAGCAGCGGAGCGUGUGGUUUAAUUCGAUGCA
rnacentral:rRNA from 1 species